rnacentral:rRNA from 1 species
GACGAACGCUGGCGGCGUGCCUAAUACAUGCAAGUAGAACGCUGAAGUCUGGUGCUUGCACUAGACGGAUGAGUUGCGAACGGGUGAGUAACGCGUAGGUAACCUGCCUCAUAGCGGGGGAUAACGUUUGGAAACGAACGCUAAUACCGCAUAACGUGAGAAGAGGGCAUCCUCUUUUUACCAAAGAUUUAUCGCUGAGAGAUGGGCUCGCGGCCGAUUAGGUAGUUGGUGAGAUAACAGCCCACCAAGCCGACGAUCGGUAGCCGGACUGAGAGGUUGAUCGGCCACAUUGGGACUGAGACACGGCCCAG